UUAAGCGACUAAGCGUACACGGUGGAUGCCCUGGCAGUCAGAGGCGAUGAAGGACGUGCUAAUCUGCGAAAAGCGUCGGUAAGGUGAUAUGAACCGUUAUAACCGGCGAUGUCCGAAUGGGGAAACCCAGUGCAAUUCGUUGCACUAUCGUUAACUGAAUACAUAGGUUAACGAGGCGAACCGGGGGAACUGAAACAUCUAAGUACCCCGAGGAAAAGAAAUCAACCGAGAUUCCCCCAGUAGCGGCGAGCGAACGGGGAGCAGCCCAGAGUCUGAAUCAGCUUGUGUGUUAGUGGAACGGUCUGGAAAGUCCGACGGUACAGGGUGAUAGUCCCGUACACCAAAAUGCACAGGCUGUGAACUCGAAGAGUAGGGCGGGACACGUGGUAUCCUGUCUGAAUAUGGGGGGACCAUCCUCCAAGGCUAAAUACUCCUGACUGACCGAUAGUGAACCAGUACCGUGAGGGAAAGGCGAAAAGAACCCCGGCGAGGGGAGUGAAAAAGAACCUGAAACCGUGUACGUACAAGCAGUGGGAGCACCUUCGGGUGUGACUGCGUACCUUUUGUAUAAUGGGUCAGCGACUUAUAUUCUGUAGCAAGGUUAACCGUAUAGGGGAGCCGCAGGGAAACCGAGUCUUAACUGGGCGUUAAGUUGCAGGGUAUAGACCCGAAACCCGGUGAUCUAGCCAUGGGCAGGUUGAAGGUUGGGUAACACUAACUGGAGGACCGAACCGACUAAUGUUGAAAAAUUAGCGGAUGACUUGUGGCUGGGGGUGAAAGGCCAAUCAAACCGGGAGAUAGCUGGUUCUCCCCGAAAGCUAUUUAGGUAGCGCCUCGUGAAYUCAUCUUCGGGGGUAGAGCACUGUUUCGGCUAGGGGGUCAUCCCGACUUACCAACCCGAUGCAAACUACGAAUACCGAAGAAUGUUAUCACGGGAGACACACGGCGGGUGCUAACGUCCGUCGUGAAGAGGGAAACAACCCAGACCGCCAGCUAAGGUCCCAAAGUCAUGGUUAAGUGGGAAACGAUGUGGGAAGGCACAGACAGCCAGGAUGUUGGCUUAGAAGCAGCCAUCAUUUAAAGAAAGCGUAAUAGCUCACUGGUCGAGUCGGCCUGCGCGGAAGAUGUAACGGGGCUAAACCAUGCACCGAAGCUGCGGCAGCGACACUAUGUGUUGUUGGGUAGGGGAGCGUUCUGUAAGCCUGCGAAGGUGWSCUGUGAGGSWUGCUGGAGGUAUCAGAAGUGCGAAUGCUGACAUAAGUAACGAUAAAGCGGGUGAAAAGCCCGCUCGCCGGAAGACCAAGGGUUCCUGUCCAACGUUAAUCGGGGCAGGGUGAGUCGACCCCUAAGGCGAGGCCGAAAGGCGUAGUCGAUGGGAAACAGGUUAAUAUUCCUGUACUUGGUGUUACUGCGAAGGGGGGACGGAGAAGGCUAUGUUAGCCGGGCGACGGUUGUCCCGGUUUAAGCAUGUAGGCUGRUUGUCCAGGCAAAUCCGGAUAAUCAAGGCUGAGGUGUGAUGACGAGGCACUACGGUGCUGAAGUAACAAAUGCCCUGCUUCCAGGAAAAGCCUCUAAGCAUCAGGUAACAUYAAAUCGUACCCCAAACCGACACAGGUGGUCAGGUAGAGAAUACCAAGGCGCUUGAGAGAACUCGGGUGAAGGAACUAGGCAAAAUGGUGCCGUAACUUCGGGAGAAGGCACGCUGGUGUGUAGGUGAAGYCCCUGCGGRUGGAGCUGAGACCAGUCGAAGAUACCAGCUGGCUGCAACUGUUUAUUAAAAACACAGCACUGUGCAAACACGAAAGUGGACGUAUACGGUGUGACGCCUGCCCGGUGCCGGAAGGUUAAUUGAUGGGGUUAUCCGUAAGGAGAAGCUCUUGAUCGAAGCCCCGGUAAACGGCGGCCGUAACUAUAACGGUCCUAAGGUAGCGAAAUUCCUUGUCGGGUAAGUUCCGACCUGCACGAAUGGCGUAAUGAUGGCCAGGCUGUCUCCACCCGAGACUCAGUGAAAUUGAACUCGCUGUGAAGAUGCAGUGUACCCGCGGCAAGACGGAAAGACCCCGUGAACCUUUACUAUAGCUUGACACUGAACAUUGAGCCUUGAUGUGUAGGAUAGGUGGGAGGCUUUGAAGCGUGGACGCCAGUCUGCGUGGAGCCAACCUUGAAAUACCACCCUUUAAUGUUUGAUGUUCUAACGUUGGCCCCUKACCGGGGUUGCGGACAGUGUCUGGUGGGUAGUUUGACUGGGGCGGUCUCCUCCCAAAGCGUAACGGAGGAGCACGAAGGUUAGCUAAUCCUGGUCGGACAUCAGGAGGUUAGUGCAAUGGCAUAAGCUAGCUUGACUGCGAGCGUGACGGCGCGAGCAGGUGCGAAAGCAGGUCAUAGUGAUCCGGUGGUUCUGAAUGGAAGGGCCAUCGCUCAACGGAUAAAAGGUACUCCGGGGAUAACAGGCUGAUACCGCCCAAGAGUUCAUAUCGACGGCGGUGUUUGGCACCUCGAUGUCGGCUCAUCACAUCCUGGGGCUGAAGUAGGUCCCAAGGGUAUGGCUGUUCGCCAUUUAAAGUGGUACGCGAGCUGGGUUUAGAACGUCGUGAGACAGUUCGGUCCCUAUCUGCCGUGGGCGCUGGAGAAUUGAGGGGGGCUGCUCCUAGUACGAGAGGACCGGAGUGGACGCAUCACUGGUGUUCGGGUUGUCAUGCCAAUGGCACUGCCCGGUAGCUAAAUGCGGAAGAGAUAAGUGCUGAAAGCAUCUAAGCACGAAACUUGCCCCGAGAUGAGUUCUCCCUGAGACUUUAAG
rnacentral:rRNA from 1 species